UGUGGAUCUAUAACAUUAAGCAUACAAACAUUCAACAUUUAACAGGUUUUAGUCUGUUUGAUAGGACAAGUUCAACAUAUAAAUGGAUUCUUUAUGUGAUCUGUUUGAAUUAAUCCGAUUGAUAAACAAUACCAAUAUAUUUGUAUUUGUUUUAUAUUUGUUCUGAAAUGUUUUUGACCAUCAAAAGAAUUUAAUCAGGUAAAUAUAACCUGAGUAAGUACAAAUAAUAAUUUUAUCUUCAUUGCCAAAUCACUGGUUAUGUCGCACGUAGCAGCUAAAACUUCUUUCUGGUUUUUAUAAAUCCAAAGCCUGCAAUGCUUUACAUGUUGUUUGGGUAUGUUCUGUGAAAAUCUAAAUUUUUCGUUUGUCUUUGAGUAAAUUUUGUAGACCAGAAGGUUUAACCAUUGUUUCAUGCUUUCUCCAAGUCAAUUCAUUCAUGUUAAGAUAGAAACCAGAAAUGUUUUACCUAAAAUUUAAAGGAAGUAAUUCUAUGUUCAGUUUGCAUUUUUGCUUAAAGACAACAAGGAGAAAAAACACAAUAAUUAUUUUAAAAUGAACAAUAUCCAAAAACCAGUGUGCCAUAUGAACACAAACAGUUUGUGGCUUUAUUAAAUUCAAACCCCUUUUAGUUUAUUCACUAAUUUUUUUAUUUUAUUUCUGUCAAACCCUUUAAGUGGAAACUUUGCUUCACUUGUUUUCCUUUAAAUAACCCUAAACAGGAAAACACUGUAUUAAUUUCUUCACUACCUUUAAGACGAACAUUCAGUAAAAGAAUGAACCUGUGUGAAGGUAGAUUGUUGCCUGUGUGUUCCAAAAUGGCUGCCAUGACAGAAAAAACCUACUUAUACAAUCUAUGUCGUGUAACAUACAUAGGGUGACCAGAUGUCCUCUUUUUCCCGGACAUGUCCUACUUUUCAGACCUAAAAAGAUGUCCGGGGGGAAUUUAAAAAUCGUCCGGGAUUUUGGUCAACUGCCUCAAAACACAUUACAUAGCUUACAGUGCAUUGUGAUUACAUUGCCACUCCGUUCCACUACUCCAUACCAGGUUUCUUUGUAUGGCAAAUUAGUCACGCCUUCUCCCCAAAUCCAAUCACGUUGCAUUAUGUGUGCGAGUGUGUGUAGGAAAAGUAAAUGUAACCCUGUCCGUGUGAGACGACACCUCGCUGUUCCUUAGACUCUGCGUUGUGUUUUCUUUAAUGGUGGUUGUCGGAAGGAAACUUGAGGCAUAAAUCGGACACACACGGCUGUUGAGAUCGUGGUUCAGACCGUUUAUUCGGACCAACCGACAGCGCAGCGGCUUCACCUUCAGAAUUCACAGCAAAUACUGCGUGUCAAUAUAAGUCUCAUUAACGCAGUUAUUAUUAUCAUUCUUUUCUUUUUUUUUGUUUAACAGAUACAGCAUAUAUUAAAAAAAAGAAGAAAAAGACAAAACGAUACAAAACUAACUACUUGGACAUUAAAAGUAACAUUUGGCUACAUUGAGGAGCUGGCGGUCAGCAUUGCUUACCUUCAGAAUUCACAGCAAAUACUGACCGUUGUACUGCCAGCGCACCGUAACAGACGCCAAGUACGGUGUCCUUCAACGGACACACUUCACCGACUUCCACAACUCAAAGAACAAAUCUAACAUUUUGGUGGCAUCUGCUGACAUAUUUAAGCCACUGCCCUACAUAAAGAUAACCCCCCCAUCCCGCCGCUCCAAGGUGUUCUGGUCCCGCUUGGUGUUCUGCUUUCCCCCCAUUGUGCAACAACCUUCACCUAGUUAAAGAGCACACAUUUCUCUAUUACUCUGCUCAUAUUAUCAAGUUAAAACAACUACUUAUUUUACUAAAGAAUAAUAUAAACUGUUUCAAAUUGCAUGAACUUCAUUUCUGACCUGAUGAGGAAUUUUAUUAAACAUCACAGUGAUUUCUACUCAGAAACAUUUUGUGUGAACAGAACAUUAUCCUCAAGCUUUAAAAUAAAUAUUUGCUGUACAAAACUCAGAUCAAUGUAACACACUUCCAUCUCACGGUGCAACACAGGAUACAAAAACACGCCUCUAACUACUCGGAGAUAGUUCCCACUUUUGUGUUUUACUUCUUUGAGUUUUUUAAGUGCUAACCCAAAAAGCCAAGUUUAUUCAACUCUUGUAGAUUUGACUAAAUUAAUAAAAAGUUAACACUACUUAAUGAGUAAGUUUAUGUUUCACAAACUCACACAUUUAGAUUAUAAAUAAAUAAAUAAGUAAAAGAUAGUUGAUAACAAAAUGCAACACAGGAUCUUUGUCUGCAUUGGUGCAAAGUUCUACAUGUCAAAUUAUUGCUUGAUGUCAAUCACAAAUGCCUACUUAUACUCUAUACUGCUUCUUUUGUACAACACAGAAUCCCCAAAAUAUACUACAUCAAAAUGGUGACAAGUUACAUUUUAUACUAAUUUGCUAAUUAAAUCAUCAUUCAUCUUGUUCCAGUGCCAUACAUAACAUAACCCAAUAGACAUAGACUGAAAUCCCAGGGGGGAUUGGGAGGGCCCGGAUCCCCCCAAUCUUGGAAAAGUCUAGAAUCCUCCCCCCCCCCC